AACAAGACGUGGAUAAGAUUGGAAAAAAAUAUAUUACCGGGUGAAAUCAGAGAAGAGCAGAAGAAAAGAAAAUAGAGAAUAAAGAACCAAAACAGAAGACAAAAAGAGGAAAAGAAAAGAAAAUUGUCAUGUGUGGAUCGUGGGAGUGAAACAAAAGAUAGACGAGAUGCGCAGUGUGUGUGUGUGUGUGUGUGUGUGUGUGUGUGUGUGUGUGUGUGUGUGUGUGUGUGUGUGUGUGUGUGUGUG